rnacentral:rRNA from 1 species
UACAUAGGGGGCGAGCGUUGUCCGGAAUGACUGGGCGUAAAGGGAGUGUAGGCGGUUAUGCAAGUUACAUGUGAAAGCCCGAGGCUUAACCUCGGAACUGCAUGUAAAACUACAUAACUUGAGUGUGGGAGAGGAAAGUGGAAUUCCUAGUGUAGCGGUGGAAUGCGUAGAUAUUAGGAGGAACACCAGCGGCGAAGGCGGCCUUCUGGACCAUAACUGUCGCUGAGGCUCGAAAGCGUGGGGAGCAAACAGGAUUAGAUACCCUGGUAGUCCAUGCCGUAAACGAUGGAUACUAGACGCAGGAGGUAUCGACUCCUACUGUGUCUGAAGCUAACGCAAUAAGUAUCCCGCCUGGGGAGUACGGCCGCAAGGUUGAA